rnacentral:rRNA from 1 species
AUUGAACGCUGGCGGCAUGCCUUACACAUGCAAGUCGAACGGCAGCACGGGGCAACCUGGUGGCGAGUGGCGAACGGGUGAGUAAUGCAUCGGAACGUACCUUUCAGUGGGGGAUAACGUAGCGAAAGUUACGCCAAUACCGCAUAUUCUGUGGGCAGGAAAGCAGGGGAUCGCAAGACCUUGCGCUGAUUGAGCGGCCGAUGUCAGAUUAGCUAGUUGGUGAGGUAAAGGCUCACCAAGGCGACGAUCUGUAGCGGGUCUGAGAGGAUGAUCCGCCACACUGGGACUGAGACACGGCCCAGACUCCUACGGGAGGCAGCAGUGGGGAAUUUUGGACAAUGGGGGCAACCCUGAUCCAGCCAUGCCGCGUGAGUGAAGAAGGCCUUCGGGUUGUAAAGCUCUUUCGGCCGGGAAGAAAUCGCACAGGCUAAUACCUUGUGUGGAUGACGGUACCGGAAUAAGAAGCACCGGCUAACUACGUGCCAGCCGCCGCUGUAAGAC